rnacentral:rRNA from 1 species
GAUGAACGCUGGCGGCGUGCCUAAUACAUGCAAGUCGAGCGAACGGACGAGAAGCUUGCUUCUCUGAUGUUAGCGGCGGACGGGUGAGUAACACGUGGAUAACCUACCUAUAAGACUGGGAUAACUUCGGGAAACCGGAGCUAAUACCGGAUGAUAUUUUGAACCGCAUGGUUCAAAAGUGAAAGACGGUCUUGCUGUCACUUAUAGAUGGAUCCGCGCUGCAUUAGCUAGUUGGUAAGGUAAUGGCUUACCAAGGCAACGAUGCAUAGCCGACCUGAGAGGGUGAUCGGCCACACUGGAACUGAAACACGGUCCAGACUCCUACGGGAGGCAGCAGUAGGGAAUCUUCCGCAAUGGGCGAAAGCCUGACGGAGCAACGCCGCGUGAGUGAUGAAGGUCUUCGGAUCGUAAAACUCUGUUAUUAGGGAAGAACAUAUGUGUAAGUAACUGUGCACAUCUUGACGGUACCUAAUCAGAAAGCCACGGCUAACUACGUG